UACCAAAUCCACUGUAUGUCAUGGUGUCAGCACGUUUACUAAAGUAUACACGAGCGGCCUCCUGCUCUAUUUGCAUACAAGACUUGGUAAAGAUAUAUACGUGACACCUUCUGAAUACACAAUAUUUCGAAUGGUUCCGCGCUUACUGCCGUUAAUUUUAUGUAAGUAGAGCAAUCAUCACGAGACCAGUGGGACGCAUUGCUGACGUGCACUGAGAGUCAGAUUCCGGCUGGCUGACGUAGUUUGGCUGCAUCUGGGCAGAGGACCAUGGCUUCCUGGAAUAAGGAGACCACUCACCUACGGUGACGCCGCCUGGUCGUCACAAUAAAGUUUAUUUCUCAUCC